GUCAAUUUAGUCCGUAGCGAAAAAAAACAGGCUAUAGUUUUGUCGAGGCAUCUAUCCCGCUUGGGCGUAUAUGCCGGAUUUACAGUACACUUUACAAUACUUUCGACUUUGUAUUAGUAAAAAUAAGAUGUUAUUAUACGCUGUAAAUAAUCGCAACUAAAAAGUCAGCUUCAAAUAACUA